rnacentral:rRNA from 1 species
CAGCCGUAAACAAUGUGCGUUAGGUGUGUCGGUAACCACGUGUUACUGAUGCGCCGAAGAGAAAUCGUGAAACGCACCACCUGGGAAGUACGGUCGCAAGGCUGAAACUUAAAGGAAUUGGCGGGGGAGCACCACAACAGGUGGAGCCUGCGGUUUAAUUGGACUCAACGCCGGGAAGCUCACCGGAUAAGACAGCGGAAUGAUUGCUGGGCUGAAGACUCUGCAUGACUAGCUGAGAGGUGGUGCAUGGCGUGUGACUGU